CGUGGACCACCAGCAGCUGGAGCGGCUUGGGGCAUUGCUGCCCCGUGGACAAGGAGCCCGCCUGGGCUGCCCUACCUGGAGAUGCCGGCAGCAGGGCACCGGCUUCCCGUGGUUUGGGGUGGCAGGUCUUGGAAGUUUCCCCACAGAGGUGUAGAACAGUUUCCACCUCUCUAUUCCAGUGAUUGAAACUCACUGCUGUAGAGGCAAGGACUGGUGAGUAGUUUCUCUGCCUCAGUGUGAGUCCCAAGUUACAGUGAUGGACUCAAGUUCCUCACGGUCUGGUUCUGCUCCACAGUGUAAAAAAUGUAUGUAUCUCCUAAUGCUGAUAACCCAGAAGGAGACAAUACCCUUUAUAAAAUUCAUCACGCAGCUCUUACUGUCUUUUCUGGUCCUCAUAAAAAACCCGGGGCCACCUGCUUUGUGACAUCUAUGCUGAGUUCUCCCCAUUUGAUCUGGAAAUGAAUGGUCUUUUAUGCCUUCCUAGAUCAACCUGCAAUUAAGCCCUCAGGGGACAUUAUUUCGCAGCCAUAACAAUGCUCUUUGCCUGGCAGUUUAUUUUAUUUCCUCUAAUACCCUACUUGGCUUUCUGUGCAUGGUAAUAGUUCAUCAGGUUAUGCAAUUCCAAGAGGAGUUAAUAGAUCCAUAAUGAGAAGUUAUCUCUGAAAGUUCUUUAAAUCAAUAGGUGUGCACUAGUUUGCAUUCGGGGAAAGGUUAGUUGCUGCUAGAGCUGGGAACCUAUCUGGAGAAUACCCUACCAUGAGACCCUUUUAGUGUUACUGGCUAGAUACCUGCAAAGGUCUCCUGAGAAGAUGGGAAAAGUGCCACUUCCACAUUUAGGAAUGUUCCAAGAAGUUCAGGACUAAGUGCAAGCCAAGUAGAUCCCAACACAAAAAAUUCUAGUUAGGAUGUCCUGCAGGACAAAGGUGGUGUGUGUAAAAUGCUCCUUGGAAAGUGGACUGAGUGUGACUGAGGUUGUCUCAGAGCUUGUGCUUUAUGCGGACAGCACAGUGCAAAGAGCUACCUCUAAGGUGCCUGGGUUCCAUCUGAAGGGGGAGAAACUGAGGCAGACUGCAGCCUGACUGUAGUUACUGCUCAUCCUCCUAGACCUGUCUGUGUGUUGCUGGGAUCUGUGGGUACCUGCAGGAGGAAGGAAAACCAGUGAGAACCUCCAUGCUCCCCUAUUGCCGUGAAGGUGAUUAUCUCUUUCUUGCUACAGGAGCUGCUCGAUCUCCGGUCUCUGUGCCAAGCACACUCUGUAGGAGGACAAGUCGAUGCCAGCUGCAUGUCUAAGCAAUAGCCAUCAUUCUGUUGUAUUUCCAACAGAGGAGCAAACACAUGGAGAGAUGGAAAUGGGGAAACAAAACCAACGAAGUUUCAGUCUGGCCUGACUAGCAAGUAAUGAGUGCUGCCAUCCUAUCAACACAAGUUUGCCUUCUCUAGUGAAGCUCUUAAAUCACGCAAAAACACCUUCAGAAGCAGCUAAGUGCUGUAAUCCCUGCCAAAGCUCAUCCUGCUUCUCACCAACCAGACUUUCCUUGGGACUGGGAACUUACAGCUGCUCAAGUCCUUCUUCUGGGAAAAAGGUCCCAUAAAGUGCUUCCCAACACUUGCAAGAAUGCAAACAGGAUUUGAAGAAGAUGGUUCUCAUUUGAUUAUACUUCUAAGCAACAUCUUCCAGUCUUUUGCACAAGUACAGUUCAAAGUUUGUAUUAAAAGGAGCGGGAAGGGGAGGCAAAUUGGGAUUUUUGGAGGGGUUUUGGUAAAGUCUUGCAUUUUGUUACUGUAGUGAUACCAUGGAAACGUGAUUUGUGAGUCCAGGGAGAAUAUAAAUUGUGAAGGAAAAAGCUGUGAUUUUUGGUAGGAGCACAUAGUUUUGAGCACUCCUUUUGACUUUUCCUUCGAGUGAUAUUGGUGGGGAUGUGGUUAAUUUUAGUGGGAACAGGAUCAAUGUAUAAACCGUGAUAAGCCUUGACUAAAUGAAAACUGGGACAUGUCUACUGAACUGCUUUUGAAACAUCUGGAUGCAAAUAAAAGGGAUCAGAGGCCUGUCUGUAGCUCAGAGAAUGUAUUUGUCUCUGGACUAAUAAAUUUUCCCAAAUUUUCUUUGAAAAGUUAGUUAAAUGAGAGAUCAGUCCCAUUUGUAAACAAAGCUGUCUGGAUUUAUUGUUAAGCAAAA